GUCUACCUUUUCCGUUGCAGAUUCUUCACAAUGCAGAAUUGGGGCAAGAUUCUAUGAGAAACUUGGGAACCUGAGAAGUCUUUGAUUUAAGGCCGCAAAGUGGGAUCAGAGCAAAGGUCUUGGUUCCACUGCAGCCAGAUAGUGGAAAAACUGGAGGAUUGUG
rnacentral:lncRNA from 1 species